CAGAGGUUCCCGAUUAGCACUGUCACAUAGGAACGGUGCAAGAGGAGAGCAGACGAGAGGACAAAUCACAGAAUUAUUCAUUUUUGUUUUUAUGUUUUACGUCAUGAUGGAGGAUACGGUGAUGUACCUCAGGCUUAGUCAAGACCAAGGCCAGAGAAAAAUAAGGCAGUAAAAUGGUAAACACUGGCCAUUUUGAACAGGGUUUCCCCAGGACUCGCACGAGAGCUCUUAAUGAGUCUUCCACCCAUCAUAGCAACAUGCAGCAUCCUAUCAAGUGCCUCCCAAGUGAAAAAGGCCAAAUAAGAAAGCAGGCACCUGGGGGAGAGGAACAUCUGUGUGCGGUUGAUCAUGCCUGUUUCUCAUUCAUGCUUUAUGCCUUGUCUGGUAAGCCCAGACAGCAGGUGCAUCUCUCAGUAAGGCAGCUCUGACAGAUAAGCUUUAGCUGCUGAAGCGUGCCACCUGAUUUUCUUCAGUCAAAUCAGAAGAAGAUGAUGUGAUGGAAUUACAGGACCUCCAUUUCACAUUCAUAUUAUAACAACAUAGACUGCAACAGCAAGAGGACUGCAGUAUUGCAAUUUUAAAGCAAACGUGGACUUUAAAAUAGCAUUUGCUUAUGCUACAUGUUUUGAAUUAUUUGCGUACAUUAAUUUGAUCAUGAUGAAAUCCAAAUUUCAGCAGGUUAUUAGUCCCAGUAUUUUUUUUACAAUGUUAUUAAAAUAUAUUUUUUCUUAUUUUUUUAUUUUUUUUUUGUAUUUCAUAAUAUCACAAUAAUCUGAAUAUUAUAAAACAUAAUCACAAUAAAAUCAUCAAGUAUUAAUAUUUUAUAGUCAUAUUGAAUUGGUCAAAAACAAUGGGAAUGUGGCCUAUGAAAACUCAAGAUUUCUAUUUUUCUUUUACUUUCUUUUUUUUUUUGUGUGUGUUAAACACUCAGUUACUGAUAGAGGUUUGACUUGUUUUUUGUAAAAAGUACAACCCAAGAAUAAACACAAAUGUUUUAAGUUUAAGUUACCAAAUUCUGUAGUCCUAAAAGGAUGACCACCCCCCCCCCUAAAAAAAAAAAAAAACCUCAGCAUAAUUUUUUUAAAUAUUUUUUUUUCUAUGUAAAUGCACUUCCUGACAAAACCUCUCCUCUAACUCUAGAAUAAUUCACUCCUUGUAAGUAAUCUGAUAAAAGUUUACAUAUUUUUU
ensembl:lncRNA